rnacentral:sRNA from 1 species
ACUGGGCAUGGUGGCGCGUGUCUGUAAUCCCAGCUACUUGGGAGGCUGGGGCAGGAGAAUCCCUUGAGCCCGGGAGUCUGAGGUUGCAGUGAGCCAAGAUUGCACCAUUGCACUCCAGCCUGGGCAACAGAGCGAGACUCUGUCUCAA